rnacentral:rRNA from 1 species
AGAGUUUGAUCCUGGCUCAGAUUGAACGCUAGCGGGAUGCUUUACACAUGCAAGUCGAACGGCCCCUCCAGAGAGCUUGCUCUCUUGGUGGCGAGUGGCGGACAGCUGACCACUAUAUCCGAACGUGCCCAGUAGCGGCAGAUAAGUACUGACAAGAGUGGCUAAUACCUCGUACUCCCUACGAGUGAAAGGGGGGGAUCGCAAGACCUCUCACUACUGGAGCGGCAGAUAUCGGUUUAGGUAGUAUGUGGGGUAAAGGCUCACCAAGGCAACGAUCCGUAGGUGUCUUCAGAGGACGACCAACCACACUGUGAGUGAGACACGUCCCACACUCCUACGGGAGGCCGCAGUGCCGGAAUCUUGGACAAUGGGGGCAACCCUGAUCCAGCCCUCCCGCGUCUAUGAUGAAGCCCUUAGGGUGGUAAAGUACUUUAGGCAGAGAAGAAAAGGCAUCCCUUAAUACGGGAUGAUGCUGACGGUAUCUGCAGAAUAAGCACCGGCUAACUUCGUGCCAGCGGCCGCGGUAAUACGUAGGGUGCAAGCGUUAAUCGGAAUUACUGGGCGUAAAGCGUGUGUAGGCGGUUGGGAAAGAAAGAUGUGAAAUCCCAGGGCUCAACCUUGGAACUGCCUUUUUAUCUGCCGAUCUAGAGUAUGUCAGAGGGGGGUAGAAUUCCACGUGUAGCAGUGAGAUUCGUAGAUAUUUGGAGGAACACCGAUGGCGAAGGCAGCCCCCUGGGAUAAUUCUGACGCUCAGACACGAAAGCGUGGGGAGCAAACAGGAUUAGAUACCCUGGUAGUCCACGCCCUA